rnacentral:rRNA from 1 species
GGAUUCCGUUAGUAACGGCGAGUGAAGCGGGAAUAGCUCAAAUUUGAAAUCUGGCUCUUUCAGAGUCCGAGUUGUAAUUUGCAGAGGGCGCUUUGGCUUUGGCAGCGGUCCAAGUUCCUUGGAACAGGACGUCACAGAGGGUGAGAAUCCCGUACGUGGUCGCUAGCUAUUGCCGUGUAAAGCCCCUUCGACGAGUCGAGUUGUUUGGGAAUGCAGCUCUAAAUGGGAGGUAAAUUUCUUCUAAAGCUAAAUAUUGGCCAGAGACCGAUAGCGCACAAGUAGAGUGAUCGAAAGAUGAAAAGCACUUUGGAAAGAGAGUCAAACAGCACGUGAAAUUGUUGAAAGGGAAGCGCUUGCAGCCAGACUUGCUUGCAGUUGCUCAUCCGGGCUUUUGCCCGGUGCACUCUUCUGCAGGCAGGCCAGCAUCAGUUUGGGCGGUGGGAUAAAGGUCUCUGUCACGUACCUUCCUUCGGGUUGGCCAUAUAGGGGAGACGUCAUACCACCAGCCUGGACUGAGGUCCGCGCAUCUGCUAGGAUGCUGGCGUAAUGGCUGUAAGCGGCCCGUCUUGAAACACGGACCAAGGAGUCUAACAUCUAUGCGAGUGUUUGGGUGUCAAGCCCGAGCGCGUAAUGAAAGUGAACGGAGGUGGGAACCCGCAAGGGCGCACCAUCGACCGAUCCUGAAGUUUACGGAAGGAUUUGAGUAAGAGCAUGGCUGUUGGGACCCGAAAGAUGGUGAACUAUGCUUGAAUAGGGUGAAGCCAGAGGAAACUCUGGUGGAGGCUCGCAGCGGUUCUGACGUGCAAAUCGAUCGUCAAAUUUGGGCAUAGGGGCGAAAGACUAAUC